CGUGAUGUCUAAAUUUUUUAUCUUUAGGCCAUGAUCCUGUCACCUUAGGUCGAUCGGUACCUCUAGUUGACACCCAAAGAGUUGGUGAGUAAUUACUAAUUUUUUUGGAUGUUUAUUUCAGUUCCUAAACUUGUCUAGGUCACACCCAGCAAGGGUACUCCUGGGCCAUUAGCUCAGGUGGUUAGAGCGCACCCCUGAUAAGGGUGAGGUCCCUGGUUCAAGUCCAGGAUGGCCCAUUCGGUGUUGGGGGUAUAGCUCAGUUGGUAGAGCGCCUGCUUUGCAAGCAGGAUGUCAGCGGUUCGAGUCCGCUUACCUCCACUGAUCGACCUCCUGACAACAAAUCCUAAGGAGACGGUCUGUUGGAUGUGAUUUAGAUAGUGUUUUUAUUGAAUGAACCUAGCUUCUUAUCAUCCCUUUCUAAAACGAAAAUUUCGUUAGGUUGAUAUGACGCUGGGCUCACUGCAACAAAAGUUGCAGAGCAGUUCAGUAGAACCUUGACAACUGCAUAGGUAAGUCUGGAAAAAAAUAAAGCAUCUCAUGGAUGCAUUAUCUUUUAAUCCUUUUUUAGGGCUCUCUUUUUCGAGAGAACUAAUUGGUUUUAUUAGAUUAAUGUUUAAUUCUUGAGCAAGAGCCGAGACUCUUUAACG
rnacentral:tRNA from 1 species